rnacentral:rRNA from 1 species
UACGUAGGAGGCAAGCGUUGUCCGGAGUACUGGGCGUAAAGCGCACGCAGGCGGUCUUGUCAGUCUGUAGGGACAGGGCACAGCUCAACUGUGUCAGGCUUACGGAAACUGACAAGACUUGAGGGCUUCAGAGGGAUGGGGAAUUCCGGGUGGAGUGGUGAAAUGCGUAGAGAUCCGGAAGAACACCAAAGGCGAAGGCACCAUCCUGGGGAGUCACUGACGCUCGGGUGCGAAAGCUAGGGGAGCGAACGGG